ACUAAAAUUUAUAUGUCUUAAAACAAAGUAUUGGUUCUGGAAGAACAAUUUAGAGCAAAAGAAUUUUCAAGAAAAGCCAAGUUGCAAGUCAUAAUCUGAAGAAGUCAGAGUCUAAGUUUAUCGAGAAGCUAGAUAUUCAGAGUUUGAAGAUCACCCAGAAGCUGAAGUGCAGACCCUAAAGUCAGCUUUUAUGGUUAUAUGAAGACACAACGAUGCAGAAGGAUAUAAAAUAUUGGAGCAACGAUAGUUCUGGAGAAUUAGAAGGCUUUGGAUGCUUUUAUAAGAAAAAGGACAGUAAAGGACAUAUAGUACAAUUGUACAACCACUACCC
rnacentral:lncRNA from 1 species